UACGAAGGGGGCGAGCGUUGUUCGGAUUUACUGGGCGUAAAGGGCGCGUAGGCGGCGCGAGAAGUCGAGUGUGAAAGCCCCGGGCUCAACCUGGGAAGUGCAUGCGAUACUGGAAAGCUUGAGUACUAGAGGGGGUCGGCGGAAUUCCCGGUGUAGAGGUGAAAUUCGUAGAUAUCGGGAGGAACACCAGCGGCGAAGGCGGCGACCUGGAUAGAUACUGACGCUGAGGUGCGAAAGCGUGGGGAGCAAACAGG
rnacentral:rRNA from 1 species